UACGGAGGGUGCAAGCGUUAUCCGGAUUCACUGGGUUUAAAGGGUGCGUAGGCGGGCAGGUAAGUCAGUGGUGAAAUCUCCGAGCUUAACUCGGAAACUGCCGUUGAUACUACUUGUCUUGAAUAUUGUGGAGGUAAGCGGAAUAUGUCAUGUAGCGGUGAAAUGCUUAGAUAUGACAUAGAACACCUAUUGCGAAGGCAGCUUACUACGCAUAUAUUGACGCUGAGGCACGAAAGCGUGGGGAUCAAACAGG
rnacentral:rRNA from 1 species